GGGGGCGAUCUUGGUUUCGACGGGGGUUGCGAAGCAGAUGCGGGCAUACCGGGGUCUCAGAUUCCCGUAAAACACUGAACCAAAAUAGUCGCAAACGACGAAACUUACGCUUUAGCCGCUUAAGGCUAGCCGUUGCAGCAGUCGGCCGAUGGGCUGUGUAGGGUAACACCUACGGCAACGUCAUCUUACAUUGGCUGGUUUUCUGUCGGGUUACUUGGCAGGAAAUAAGAUUUAAGGUAACUGGCCUCCAAACAGCCCGUCUGCCGGCGGAAUGGGGGCAAGAUUCCAAGUUGGCAAGACUAAGUAUGUAGAACGCUUUGUAGAGGGCUUUCGGACGGGGGUUCAAUUCCCCCCGCCUCCACCA
rfam:Neisseria dentiae strain DSM 19151 NODE_15_length_57389_cov_19.2795_ID_29, whole genome shotgun sequence.